rnacentral:rRNA from 1 species
UACGGGGGGGGGCAAGCGUUAUUCGGAAUUAUUGGGCGUAAAGGGUGCGUAGGCGGCUUUGCAAGUGACGGGUGAAAUCCCUCGGCUUAACCGAGGAACUGCCUGUCAGACUGCAUGGCUCGAGACCAGGAGAGGUGAGUGGAAUUCCCAGUGUAGCGGUGAAAUGCGUAGAUAUCGGGAGGAACAUCAGUGGCGAAGGCGGCUACCUGGCCCAAUACUGACACUCAGGUGCGACAGCGUGGGGAGCAAACAGG